CUGGUUUUUUUUCUCAUUUGCUUGGCAUAUUUGACAUAUUCUCAAUUUUCUUAAAUAAUUUCCCUUAUUUGACUUUGCUUCUUCAUUACUGAUUUUUUUACUAAACUAAUCUGGGUUUGUUAACAGUUCAAGAAAAUAAUUUACUCCAAUGAAGAAAUUGACAAAGUGCGAUUCGAAUGGGCGGAUUGCGUACUAGACUAUAUUCAUUACUAGAUCAAUUUGCAACUCUUGGCAACUUGUUACUUGCAAAAUGAAAAAGCAUAUUGUGCCUACCAAAUACUCAAAGGUCGGGCAAUUCGUGAGGCUUGAGUUUUUUUUAUGCA